rnacentral:rRNA from 1 species
ACGAUGUACAUUAGUUGUUGUGAGGCUAGACCUUGCAGUAAUGCAGUUAACACAUUAAAUGUACCGCCUGGGGAGUACGGUCGCAAGAUUAAAACUCAAAGGAAUAGACGGGGACCCGCACAAGCGGUGGAGCAUGUGGUUUAAUUCGACUAUACGCGAAGAACCUUACCUGGCCUUGACAUAGUUAGAACCUAAUAGAGAUAUAAGGGUGCUAGUUUACUAGAGCUAACAUACAGGUGCUGCACGGCUGUCGUCAGCUCUCGUGAGAUGUUGGGUUAAGUCCCGCAACGAGCGCAACCCUCGUGUUUAGUUGCUAACAGGUUAAGCUGAGGACUCUAGACAGACUGCCUGGGUAACCAGGAGGAAGGUGAGGACGACUUCAAGUCAUCAUGGCCCUUACGGCCAGGGCUACACACGUGCUACAAUGGGGUAUACAAAGAGCAGCGAUACCGCGAGGUGGAGCAAAUCUCAUAAAAUAUCUCCCAGUUCGGAUUACACUCUGCAACUCGAGUGUAUGAAGUUGGAAUCGCUAGUAAUCGUAGAUCUCAACUCUACGGUGAAUACGUUCCCGGGUCUUGUACUCACCGCCC